rnacentral:rRNA from 1 species
AGAGUUUGAUCCUGGCUCAGGACGAACGCUGGCGGCGUGCUUAACACAUGCAAGUCGAGCGAUGAAGCUCCUUCGGGAGUGGAUUAGCGGCGGACGGGUGAGUAACACGUGGGUAACCUGCCUCAUAGAGGGGAAUAGCCUUUCGAAAGGAAGAUUAAUACCGCAUAAGAUUGUAGUACCGCAUGGUACAGCAAUUAAAGGAGUAAUCCGCUAUGAGAUGGACCCGCGUCGCAUUAGCUAGUUGGUGAGGUAACUGCUCACCAAGGCGACGAUGCGUAGCCGACCUGAGAGGGUGAUCGGCCACAUUGGGACUGAGACACGGCCCAGACUCCUACGGGAGGCAGCAGUGGGGAAUAUUGCACAAUGGGGGAAACCCUGAUGCAGCAACGCCGCGUGAGUGAUGACGGUCUUCGGAUUGUAAAGCUCUGUCUUUAGGGACGAUAAUGACGGUACCUAAGGAGGAAGCCACGGCUAACUACGUGCCAGCAGACGCGGUAAUACGUAGGUGGCAGGCGUUGUCCGGAUU